UAUAAAAGGAGUAGCACCGAACCAAACAAUUCAGUUCGAAAAAAACAGUUGAAGCAAGUCAAGUAAUCAAGUAGAAAAAAAUGUGGUGGUUAAUGUUCGUAGCCAUUCUUUGUGUGCAACACACAGCCGGUCUUCGAUAUAUUGAAGUCACGAACAAGAAUAACUUUCCAAUUUGGAUCGAAACUCUAACUAAUAACCAGGGACCUCCAUUGAGACCAGGAGUAACUCUUCUAGAACCUAGACAUAGUACGAAAUAUGAUAUCCAAGAUUCGGGGUGGGCAGGACGACUCUGGCCCAAAACUGGUUGUGAUGAUGGUGGUGCAAAUUGUGAAAUUGGCCAAUCAAUGCCACCCUGUCCACCGAAUGGUUGCCAUCCACCCGCUGAAACAAAAGUCGAAUUUUUCUUUCCAGCAACGAAUAGCAACCAGGAUUCAUUAAUGAUAUCAGUUUGGUAGGUCAAAUAUUUGAUUCAUCAUUCAAGUUAACUUUUGAAAAUUUUACUAAAAUCGAAAAAACAUGUCCAUCUUUUCAAGUCGAUGGUUUCUCUUUGGCCAGUGAAAUUACUCCACACGAAGAUGUAGGGUCGACCAUAUAAUGGGGGCCCCUGCACGCCAACCAAUUGCCACCUUCUUCUGUCCCAAUGUCCACGCAAUGAACGCAAUAGCUUGGGGGACUUAUCCGUGAAAGGUAGAAGAAACAAUGACGUCGCUUGUAUGUCAACAUGCAAAAGAUGGAAUUACCCUCCUCCAUAUGGCCAAGGAAAGAAUGAACAAGAAGGAGACCGUCGACUGUUGUGUUGCCCAGCAGGAGUUUCAGUCGAAGAGUGUUUUUUUUGAGUAAUCGGCUAUCGAAAAACCGCUCCGAAAUGGGGAUACUCAAAUCUUGGUCAAAAAACGCAUUUUCCAUGAAACAAAUGUUUUUUUCGAAUGGAGAAUGUUUUCAAAAAAAUGAAGAUAAAUUGUAGAAUUCAAAUCAAUUGUCUGUUUUCAAAUAUGUCUGCCCGUUCGUUCGAUAUCGGGACGAGUCAUGAAAAUUGGUCCAAAAUCGGGUCCAUAUCGUCCGAUUCUCAAUGUUUUCAAAAACCAAUUUGACAACAGCAGUGUUAUUGUUUUUGUAGCCAUAGGUGCUUCUACAAUUAUUUUCGAGUCACUACAAUUAAUUCUGGGCUUAAUGUGUACUAAUUUGGAGAAACUUAAUUGUUGGUCUGGUCAAACUGUACAACUUUGCAAAAGACAAUGAUACAGAUUUACAGGCAAUAACAUAUUAUUAACUAAACUUAAUAACAUAAU